rnacentral:lncRNA from 1 species
CCCAAUUUUCGGGAGUUUUCACCAAGUUUUGCAACACACAUCACUAAAUUACAAAGAGAAUAUCACUAAUUUCUGAAACUCAUAUCACUAAAUUUGUACAGCAGAAUUCAUCGAUUUUUGUAAAUAUAUCAACGGGUAUAUCAAAACUUAACAACAUUAUUAUCCUUGACAGAGUCUAGUCGUAUGUCCACGAGAUUGAGAGGGAGAGAUCGUCGAAAAAAGAGCAAGGGAGGGGAAGGGAAAGGACGGAGGUGGUGAUGACGGAGAAAAGACGGAGUUGGUGAUGGCGGAGAGAGAGAGAG